CGUACCGUUCGGAUGUAGUUCCGGGUUAGCUUGGUUCCUGCCGUCUGCGUGUACCGCGUGCAAUAUCGCGUGUGAUUGUUUUUAUUUGUGACUAUUUGCUGGUGGCGUUGUUUCCGAUCAGCUCUGCACCCCGCGAUGAGCCUUGUUUAGUGUUUGCGUACUGCUGAUACGCGAUAAGAUGAUCUCUCGUUCCAUGUGGGCAUCCCGUGUCGAAAUGCUAGCCCGCUAGUGUUCCAUCGUGUUUGCGUGCUGCAUUGUGUGCAAGAAAGAAAAAAAACACAAAAAAUACCUGUGAAAACCGGCCGGCGAAAGAGGUCCGAUCGGAUGAUCGCGGGCUCCGAGACCAACCACAAUAACAAAAAAACACAAGCCAAUACGAGUCGACAGACGGAUUCGGUGGGCUUUGCAAGCAAAAUAAACAACAAGAUUAAGCGUUGAAGGCUUUUGAUUGUGAAACUCACGUUGGACGCAAACGUAAACUACGUAUUACCAACUUUCGUGUUCCAACCUUGGUCUUGUCGUUAAAACGACGCAUAUAAGCAUAUAACCUGUUACCGUCGUGUCACAUGUGAAACAUUUCCGUGCGUUCAGUAAGUGUUCCGAUUGACGGGUUUAUGCACAAAAGAAAAUUAAUUUCAAAUUUCUUCGUGAAGAAUUUGCAUUAAAGCUGCUGGAAAGUUACCACAAAGUUAGCAGUUACCAGAGAGUGAAGGUCUCUCGGGUGUCGUCUGUGGCAGC